AAAGGGAGACCUAAUUCAGGUAGGAGACGAAAAAAAAGUAGUCGCUACCAAGAAUCAAUCCCAAAAGGUCGGAGCGAGGCGAAAUUGGCUUUCAAACUAGGUUCUGGGUUCACACAAGACCUGAAUCAGGAACAAGGGCUAUUAGCUCAGGUGGUUAGAGCGCACCCCUGAUAAGGGUGAGGUCCCUGGUUCGAGUCCAGGAUGGCCCACCUGCACAGGUGGCAAAAACAAGAGAAGCUCCGAAUCAGCACCUUAUCUUACUUAUAUAGUAAGAGAGAAUGCUGGCUCUGAGUAAAGAGUCCAGAGGAACCUUGAAAACUGCAUAGAGCUAGGUGAAAAAGCCAAAAAAGAAGACCGCAAG
rnacentral:tRNA from 1 species